GCAGCAGUGGGGAAUUUUGGACAAUGGGCGAAAGCCUGAUCCAGCAAUGCCGCGUGUGGGAAGAAGGCCUUCGGGUUGUAAACCACUUUUGUACGGAACGAAAAGGUCUGCCCUAAUACGGUGGGCCCAUGACGGUACCGUAAGAAUAAGCACCGGCUAACUACGUGCCAGCAGCCGCGGUAAUACGUAGGGUGCAAGCGUUACUCGGAAUUACUGGGCGUAAAGCGUGCGUAGGUGGUUUGUUAAGUCAGAUGUGAAAGCCCCGGGCUCAACCUGGGAAUUGCGUUUGAUACUGGCAGACUAGAGAGAGGUAGAGGAGAGUGGAAUUCCCGGUGUAGCAGUGAAAUGCGUAGAGAUCGGGAGGAACAUCAGUUGCGAAGGCGGCUCUCUGGACCAUCACUGACACUGAGGCACGAAAGCGUGGGGAGCAAACAGGAUUAGAUCCCUGGUAGUCCACGCCCUAAACGAUGCGAACUGGACGUUGGGAUCAAUUGAGAUUUCAAUGUCGAAGCUAACGCGUUAAGUUCCCCCCUGGGGAGUACGGUCGCAAGACUUGAAACUCAAAGGAAUUGACGGGGAAUCGAAUU
rnacentral:rRNA from 1 species